rnacentral:lncRNA from 1 species
AUGACUCUUGGGAGUUACAAGGGAAGUUUUCUGACUCAUUCCUCUGGGCCACAAGUUGUCCAGGACAGCAUGGAAGAUGGGGUGUCACCGCAUCUCUACUCUCUGAUGCCUCCACAAAAGGAGACGUUAAGGAGGCAGAAUCCUGGCUUCAUGAUGUUUGAGCAGAACUGUCAAAUCAGAGAAGAUUUCCUUUGGUUCCUACCAUCCAAGACUCCGUGUCUUUGCCCAGCUAUUCUGGAAAGCAGGAGAAUCUCAGUUUGGGUUACAUCUAUUUAUGGUCCACUCAGCUAUGAUGGAGGAAAGAAAUACACAGGACUGUCCUUUCCAGAGGGUGAAGAGGCUCAAGAAAGGAAUGUGGUUGGAGGGUGAUUACUGGCAGCUCUACAUAGUACGCAGGUGUUCUGCUUCCGAAGAGUUCAAAAAGCAUGUAUCUCCAGAGUACCAAGGAGACGUGAGGCCAUUCCCCAGGUAAUUUGGAUUCUGAGGGGGAAAAAAAAUCCAGAAAAUUUGGGCUCAAAGAAAAUGUUGGAGCUUGUUUUGUUGUUUACAUAACCUGCCUUUCCUAGAGGCCCUUUGCCUGAGCUCUGGCUCG